GAGAGUUGCAAAACUCCCUCAAACCAUCGUGAACCUACCUCUGAACAGUUGCUUCGGCAGGCCGGCCCUCCCCCGGGGGGUCGCCAAAGGCCUGCCGAAGGUACCCAAACCAUUGUUUUUACAGGCCUCUCUGAGUAUCGCACUUAAUAAUUA
rnacentral:misc_RNA from 1 species